rfam:Danio rerio unplaced genomic contig NA367, GRCz11 reference primary assembly.
GCCGUGAUCGUAUAGUGGUUAGCGCUUUGCGUUGUGGCUGCAGCAACCCCGGUUCGAAUCCGGAUCAUGGCA